rnacentral:rRNA from 1 species
UACGUAGGGGGCUAGCGUUGUCCGGAUUUAUUGGGCGUAAAGAGCGUGUAGGCGGCCAGGUAGGUCUGCUGUGAAAACUCGGGGCUCAACCCCGAGCCUGCUUCCGAUACGGGCAGACUAGAGGUAUGCAGGGGAGAAUGGAAUUCCUGGUGUAGCGGUGAAAUGCGCAGAUAUCAGGAGGAACACCGGUGGCGAAGGCGGUUCUCUGGGCAUUACCUGACGCUGAGGAGCGAAAGUGUGGGGAGCGAACAGG